rnacentral:rRNA from 1 species
AACUGUGUGCGGUGGAUCACUUGGCUCGCGCGUCGAUGRAGAGAAUCCCG